CAGUCGCCACGGUAAUACGGAGGGUGCAAGCGUUAAUCGGAAUUACUGGGCGUAAAGCGCACGCAGGCGGUCUGACAAGUCAGAUGUGAAAUCCCCGGGCUUAACCUGGGGACUGCAUUUGAAACUGUCAGGCUGGAGUCUUGUAGAGGGGGGUGGAAUUCCAGGUGUAGCGGUGAAAUGCGUAGAGAUCUGGAGGAAUACCGGUGGCGAAGGCGGCCCCCUGGACAAAGACUGACGCUCAGGUGCGAAAGCGUGGGGAGCAAACAGGAUUAGAGACCCCGGUAGUCCCUGUCUCUUAUAA
rnacentral:rRNA from 1 species